GAAUUGCUGAGGGAGGAAUUGUCUGAUUCUAUCCUAUGGAAUGAAGUCAACUCUCUCUGGAAUGCACCGGUGCAGCCAACAUUAGGUUCUGAGUGGAAAACCUGGAAGCAUGAAGUUAUGAAAUGGUUCUCAACAUCUCAUCCUGUAUCUAGUAGCGGUGAUGUAGAGAAGAGAAGCUGUGACAGUCCCUCAACCAUGAGUCUUCAAGUUGGCAGGAAGAGGCCUAAGCUUGAAGUGCGCCGUGCAGAGUCACAUGCUUCCCAGGUGGAAACAAGCAGUCCACUUCAAACUAUG
rnacentral:misc_RNA from 1 species